UCCGCUACUGUAUUUAUAUUAUACAGGUGGCAAUAUCGUUUGCACAACACUGGACCAGAUAUCACAUCACCAUGUGGAAACUGAUCGUACUUGUUGCCAUUUUAGUAGCUACCGUUCACGCCGGUCCCGCCGGGAGACUGGAUGCGACUGGGGCGAAUAUAAGUCCGGGAUUCAUUAACGGAAAUUUGGUUCCACCUCCGCCUAAUUUACCUUUCACUGGGUGCGGAAAUCAGAUCAGCGUGUUUGGCAUACGGCCGGUUUUUGGGGUCAACUGCAAUAGCGAAAAUGAACAGCUGCGUGUUCGACCAGCUCUUUAGCAGGGGAUGGGACGACUCCUGUACUUCCUGACGUGUAUGAUAAGCACCAGUGUUUCGGCUGCUGGGGAUUCUUAUUUGCUUUUCCUGUUCAGCUGGCAGUUACUAAAGGGACGAGGCGUGGCGGCGGCGGUGCCAUCGCAAAAUCCAGCUCGGAACUGGAGUAAAUUUUUUGUUGUUUU